UCAGAAGAAUAGUAACUCGUCAUCUCUGUGCCUCUUUGUCUACAAUUUUGGAAAAAGUAGUGUCGCCAUUGUUUUUUUCCCAAAUGUAGACAAAGCGAUACCGUGAUGACGUUAUAGAGAUUUUGUUUGA
rnacentral:pre_miRNA from 1 species